rnacentral:rRNA from 1 species
GGAUGAACGCUAGCGGGCAGGGCUUUAACACAUGCAAGUCGAGGGGCAGCGGGGUCCAGCAAUGGAUGCCGGCGACCGGCGAAAGGGUGAGUAACGCGUGAGCAACGUGCCCGUGGAAGGGGGAUUAGUCAUUUAGAAAUGAUGCGUAAUACCCCGUAACACAAGGGAUCGCAUGGUCCUUUUGUUGAAAGAUUUCAUUGUCCACGGAUCGGCUCGCGUGCCAUUAGGUAGACGGCGGGGUAACGGCCCACCGUGCCGACGAUGGCUAGGGGUUCUGAGAGGAAGGUCCCCACAUUGGAACUGAGACACGGUCCAGACUCCUACGGGAGGCAGCAGUGAGGAAUAUUGGACAAUGGCCGGAAGGCUGAUCCAGCCAUGCCGCGUGCGGGAGGACGGCCCUAUGGGUUGUAAACCGUCUUUUGCGGGGAGCAAUAGACACCACGCGUGGUGAGAUGAGAGUACCCUGCGAAUAAGCAUCGGCUAACUCCGUGCC